GAGUUUGAUCCUGGCUCAGGAUGAACGCUAGCGGCAGGCUUAAUACAUGCAAGUCGUGGGGCAGCAUGUCCCGCAGCAAUGCGGGAUGAUGGCGACCGGCAAACGGGUGCGGAACACGUACACAACCUUCCUUUUAGUGGGGAAUAGCCCGGGGAAACCCGGAUUAAUACCCCGUAAUAUAAUGAAGUGGCAUCACUUUAUUAUUAUAGCAGCAAUGCGCUUAAAGAUGGGUGUGCGACUGAUUAGGCAGUUGGCGGGGUAACGGCCCACCAAACCUACGAUCAGUAACUGGUGUGAGAGCACGACCAGUCACACGGGCACUGAGACACGGGCCCGACUCCUACGGGAGGCAGCAGUAAGGAAUAUUGGUCAAUGGACGCAAGUCUGAACCAGCCAUGCCGCGUGGAGGAUGAAGGUCCUCUGGAUUGUAAACUUCUUUUAUCUGGGAAGAAAUCCACGAAUUCUUUUGUGGUUGACGGUACCAGAUGAAUAAGCACCGGCUAACUCCGUGCCAGCAGCCGCGGUAAUACGGAGGGUGCAAGCGUUAUCCGGAUUCACUGGGUUUAAAGGGUGCGUAGGUGGGCAGGUAAGUCAGUGGUGAAAUCUCCGGGCUUAACUCGGAAACUGCCAUUGAUACUAUCUGUCUUGAAUACCGUGGAGGUCAGCGGAAUAUGUCAUGUAGCGGUGAAAUGCUUAGAUAUGACAUAGAACACCAAUUGCGAAGGCAGCUGGCUACACGAAUAUUGACACUGAUGCACGAAAGCGUGGGGAUCAAACAGGAUUAGAUACCCUGGUAGUCCACGCCCUAAACGAUGGAUACUCGACAUACGCGAUAUACUGUGUGUGUCUGAGCGAAAGCAUUAAGUAUCCCACCUGGGAAGUACGAUCGCAAGAUUGAAACUCAAAGGAAUUGGCGGGGGUCCGCACAAGCGGUGGAGCAUGUGGUUUAAUUCGAGGCUACGCGAAGAACCUUAUCCUAGUCUUGACAUGCACGGAUUAACUCCUGGAAACAGGAGCCAGGCCUUCGGGUACAACGUGCACAGGUGCUGCAUGGCUGUCGUCAGCUCGUGUCGUGAGAUGUCGCGUUAAGUCGCUUAACGAGCGAAACCCUUGUCUCCAGUUGCCAGCGGGUCAUGCCGGGGACUCUGGAGAGACUGCCGGUGUUAAACCGGAGGAAGGUGGGGAUGACGUCAAGUCCUCAUGGCCUUUAUGACUAGGGCUGCACACGUCCUACAAUGGCACGCAUAAAGGGAUGCAAACUCGCGAGAGCAAGCAAAUCCCAAAAAACGUGCCCCAGUUCGGAUUGCAGGCUGCAACCCGCCUGCAUGAAGCCGGAAUCGCUAGUAAUCGCGGAUCAGAAUGCCGCGGUGAAUGUGUUCCUGAGCCUUGCACACAC
rnacentral:rRNA from 1 species